CAAGUCGAGCGGCAGGCGCGGGGGCGAACCCUGGCGGCGAGCGGCGGACGGGUGAGGAAUACAUCGGAAUCUGCCUUGUUNUGGGGGAUAACGUAGGGAACUUACGCUAAUACCGCAUACGACCGAGAGGUGAAANCGGGGGAUCGCAAGACCUCGCGCGAUGAGAUGAGCCGAUGUCGGAUUAGCUUGUUGCGGGGUAACGGCCCACCAAGGCGACGAUCCGUAGCUGGUCUGAGAGGAUGAUCAGCCACACUGGAACUGAGACACGGUCCAGACUCCUACGGGAGGCAGCAGUGGGGAAUAUUGGACAAUGGGGGGCAACCCUGAUCCAGCCAUGCCGCGUGGGUGAAGAAGGCCUUCGGGUUGUAAAGCCCUUUUGUUGGGAAAGAAAUCGUGCGGGUGAAUAUCCUGCGCGGAUGACGGUACCCAAAGAAUAAGCACCGGCUAACUUCGUG
rnacentral:rRNA from 1 species